rnacentral:rRNA from 1 species
UUGUCCUACGGGAGGCAGCAGUGGGGAAUAUUGCACAAUGGGGGAAACCCUGAUGCAGCGACGCCGCGUGAGUGAAGAAGCGCCUCGGCGCGUAAAGCUCUGUCAGCAGGAACGAUAAUGACGGUACCUGAAGAAGAAGCCCCGGCUAACUACGUGCCAGCAGCCGCGGUAAUACGUAGGGGGCAAGCGUUAUCCGGAUUCAUUGGGCGUAAAGCGCGCGCAGGCGGACUCAUAAGCGGAGCCUUUAAUCUUGGGGCUUAACCUCAAGUCGGGCCCCGAACUGUGAGUCUCGAGUGUGGUAGGGG